AGAGUUUGAUCCUGGCUCAGGACGAACGCUGGCGGCGUGCUUAACACAUGCAAGUCGAACGAUGAAGCCCUUCGGGGUGGAUUAGUGGCGAACGGGUGAGUAACACGUGGGCAAUCUGCCCUUCACUCUGGGACAAGCCCUGGAAACGGGGUCUAAUACCGGAUAACACUCCUGCCUGCAUGGGUGGGGGUUGAAAGCUCCGGCGGUGAAGGAUGAGCCCGCGGCCUAUCAGCUUGUUGGUGAGGUAGUGGCUCACCAAGGCGACGACGGGUAGCCGGCCUGAGAGGGCGACCGGCCACACUGGGACUGAGACACGGCCCAGACUCCUACGGGAGGCAGCAGUGGGGAAUAUUGCACAAUGGGCGAAAGCCUGAUGCAGCGACGCCGCGUGAGGGAUGACGGCCUUCGGGUUGUAAACCUCUUUCAGCAGGGAAGAAGCGAAA
rnacentral:rRNA from 1 species